rnacentral:rRNA from 1 species
CCUACGGGAGGCAGCAGUAGGGAAUCUUCGGCAAUGGGGGCAACCCUGACCGAGCAACGCCGCGUGAGUGAAGAAGGUUUUCGGAUCGUAAAGCUCUGUUGUAAGAGAAGAACGAGUGUGAGAGUGGAAAGUUCACACUGUGACGGUAACUUACCAGAAAGGGACGGCUAACUACGUGCCAGCAGCCGCGGUAAUACGUAGGUCCCGAGCGUUAUCCGGAUUUAUUGGGCGUAAAGCGAGCGCAGGCGGUUAGAUAAGUCUGAAGUUAAAGGCUGUGGCUUAACCAUAGUACGCUUUGGAAACUGUUUAACUUGAGUGCAGAAGGGGAGAGUGGAAUUCCAUGUGUAGCGGUGAAAUGCGUAGAUAGAUGGAGGAACACCGGUGGCGAAAGCGGCUCUCUGGUCUGUAACUGACGCUGAGGCUCGAAAGCGUGGGGAGCAAACAGGAUUAGAUACCCUGGUAGUC